rnacentral:lncRNA from 1 species
ACCAGCCUGAGGCUUCAUUUUCAAGGACACACCAGGCAAGCGGGCACCCUACGUGAACGUUUGGCCAGACGGACGAGUGAAUGAACGCUGCCCAGGCCCCAGAGAACAUUCCACUCCCCCGCCUGAUGAUCAUCUAUUCGUGGCCAUGAUAAGAUGUGGAACAACAGUUUCAAGAGCAGAUGUCAACACCAGAACCAGAAUCAUCCAGAUUCAUGACCGAAUGUAAGACACAUUCAGAGCCUCUCAUCUGAUGUUCUGAGUAAAGACUGGCCAAGGUCUUAUCCCUACCUCA